rnacentral:rRNA from 1 species
AUGGCGGGGAAGUGGGGGCAGCAGGACAACCCCUUCGAGGAGGUCGAGAUCGAGGUCAACCCUUUCUCGCAACCACGCCCGACCCCGCUCCCUCACGAACCAGUUAACUUCUACAAUGACAUCAGUGCACCUGUCAAUAUGCCUCUCGAUACGAAAAAGGACCUGAAGAAAAAGGAGAAAGAACUUUUGGCUAAAGAGGCUGAGCUGAACAAGAGAGAACAAGAAAUAAAAAGAAGGGAAGAUGCUCUUGCAAGAGCUGGAGUUCUUAUAGAGCCUAAAAAUUGGCCUGCCUUCUUUCCUGUCAUCCAUGUGGAUAUUUCAAAUGAUAUACCCGUGCACUUGCAGCGAGUACAAUAUGUUGCAUUCGCAUCGCUCCUAGGUUUGAUCAUAUGCCUCUUCUGGAACUUUAUAUGCGUCACUGCUGUUUGGAUAUUAGGGGACGAGGCAGGUCCUAAGAUCUGGUUCCUGGCCAUCAUAUACAUUAUUACUGGAGUCCCAGGUGCCUACUAUUUGUGGUAUCGACCUCUCUAUCGUGCGAUGAGGAAAGAGAGUGCUUUCAGAUAUGGAUGGUUCUUCAUGUUCUAUUUUUUUCACAUUUGUUUCUGCAUAUUCGCAUCUGUUGCGCCAUCGAUUCUGUUCUUGGGACGUUCAUUGGCAGGAAUCUUUCAAGCACUGAGCGUAAUACCAUACAGUGCUACAGUUGGGAUAUUCUACUUCCUGGGUUUCACCUUGUUUGUCCUGGAAGCAUUGCUAAGCAUAUGGGUCAUGCAGAGAGUAUACCGGUAUUUCCGCGGAAACGGGAAGGAGGCGGAGAUGAGGCCUGACGCGGCAUCGCGGCGUCCAUCGUUUUGA